rnacentral:rRNA from 1 species
GAUGAACGCUGGCGGCGUGCCUAAUACAUGCAAGUCGAGCGAACAGACGAGGAGCUUGCUCCUCUGACGUUAGCGGCGGAAGGGUGAGUAACACGUGGAUAACCUACCUAUAAGACUGGGAUAACUUCGGGAAACCGGAGCUAAUACCGGAUAAUAUAUUGAACCGCAUGGUUCAAUAGUGAAAGACGGUUUUGCUGUCACUUAUAGAUGGAUCCGCGCCGCAUUAGCUAGUUGGUAAGGUAACGGCUUACCAAGGCAACGAUGCGUAGCCGACCUGAGAGGGUGCUCGGCCACACUGGAACUGAGACACGGUCCAGACUCCUACGGGAGGCAGCAGUAGGGAAUCUUCCGCAAUGGGCGAAAGCCUGACGGAGCAACGCCGCGUGAGUGAUGAAGGUCUUCGGAUCGUAAAACUCUGUUAUUAGGGAAGAACAAAUGUGUAAGUAACUAUGCACGUCUUGACGGUACCUAAUCAGAAAGCCACGGCUAACUACGUG